UCUUCCCCUAGAUCAUUGGCUGGUGGUAGUUGUGUCUCAUGUGCCUCAGUAGGUGUCAGAGAACAGAGAGGGUAUAUCUAAGCUCAGUGUUGUGGACUGAGAUCAUCUGAAGAAUGAAGAGUAUAACACA